rnacentral:rRNA from 1 species
AUGAACGCUGGCGGCGUGCCUCAUACAUGCAAGUCGAGCGAACAGACGAGGAGCUUGCUCCUCUGACGUUAGCGGCGGACGGGUGAGUAACACGUGGAUAACCUACCUAUAAGACUGGGAUAACUUCGGGAAACCGGAGCUAAUACCGGAUAAUAUAUUGAACCGCAUGGUUCAAUAGUGAAAGACGGUUUUGCUGUCACUUAUAGAUGGAUCCGCGCCGCAUUAGCUAGUUGGUAAGGUAACGGCUUACCAAGGAGACGAUGCGUAGCCGACCUGAGAGGGUGAUCGGCCACACUGGAACUGAGACACGGUCCAGACUCCUACGGGAGGCAGCAGUAGGGAAUCUUCCGCAAUGGGCGAAAGCCUGACGGAGCAACGCCGCGUGAGUGAUGAAGGUCUUCGGAUCGUAAAACUCUGUUAUUAGGGAAGAACAAAUGUGUAAGUAACUAUGCACGUCUUGACGGUACCUAAUCAGAAAGCCACGGCUAACUACGUG